UCCCCGAUGGUCUAGUGGUCAUGAGUAAGUCCUCACCUCAUCUUCGAUAUCCGAGGAUUUGAUGAUUAACAUAUAUACCUAGUUUCCGCUUGUCAUUAUAAUAACGAGCGCGGGAGACCAGGGUUCGAUUCCCUGUCGAGGAG